UACGUAGGUGGCAAGCGUUAUCCGGAUUUAUUGGGCGUAAAGAGAACGCAGGCGGUCUUUUAAGUCUGAUGUGAAAGCCUUCGGCUUAACCGGAGUAGUGCAUUGGAAACUGGGAGACUUGAGUGCAGAAGAGGAGAGUGGAACUCCAUGUGUAGCGGUGAAAUGCGUAGAUAUUAGGAGGAACACCAGUGGCGAAGGCGGCUUACUGGACUGUAACUGACGUUGAGGCUCGAAAGCGUGGGGAGCAAACAGG
rnacentral:rRNA from 1 species